ensembl:lincRNA
GGUAGGCAGCCGGGGCUGCGGCGUCUCGCCUCGCGACCACCUGCGGCGGACGGGCGCUGGGCCGCAUAUGCAAUAGACUUACUCCUCGAUUUAUCUAUAUUUACUGACUGUUCCACAGUUAUACCAAGAAAUGUUUACACAGAUGAUGAUAAGCAUAUGUAGAGAUGCAACGUUUUCACAGACCAGAAUAACCAGCUCCAGGCUGCAGUUCUCUACACGAAGAUAAAGUUUGUUGGGAAACUCCUGACUGCGGCGACCUGAGCCCAGAGGAGCAGCCGGGGGCGGUGGGCAGAGCCGGGUGUGGACAAGCGGGUGGGUCCUGCACCUGGGUGGGGGAAGCGGCAGGCUCCAGGGUCAAGUUGAGGUUGUGCUAGCCCUGGCUUCCAGACCUCAGGCGGCCCACUCUGCCCUCGGCCUGUUUCCUCUCUUGUAAAGUGGGGAGUAAAAGACCAUCACAAGCCAGGGAUGAAGUGGCACAAACUGUGAUCUCAGCCACUCUGGAGGCUGGGUCGUAGGGGUGGAGGGCUCACUUGUGUCUCAGAGCUGGAGCUGUGGUGUGCGAGGCCCGCACCUGUAAAUGGCCACUGCACUCCGGCCUGGGCAACACUGAGACCCUGGCUCUGAAAAACAACAAAACUUAAAAGAUGAACACAGAUGAAGUAUGGGAGCCUGGUAUGUGGUAAGCACUCCACAGGUGUCAGCCGCCAGCCCGCAGUUCAGGACAGGUCAGGGGGAGACCCGCAGUCUGCGACAGGCUGCCGGCUUCCAUCACUGCCUGAUGGAAAACAAGCCUGUCUUUGGGGCCAACCAGCUAACAAGUGAGCCCUUCACCCCAUCUGAAGGCGAAGCACCCAAAGGGGCAACCAUGGACCACUAAAUAAAAAUCAAGACUCCUGGGACGCCUUCUCCGGACACAUUCUUAGUAAAGACAUACGUGGAUGAGGACGUUGUGUGUAUUUCUGUGUAACAGGCCACCCCAAACCUCAGAGGGCGGAAACCUCUCUUCACUGCUCAUGACCCUGUGGGCCUGCAGCUUGAGCCAGUUCAACUGGGACAGCUUGCCUCGGCUCCAUGGAGUGUCUGCUGGACCCACUUAUGGGCAGGGGCCCCCCAGCAGAUCCGGGCCACGUGUCACCCACCCACCGCAGGCUGGAGAAGCAGAGCAUAGGAGAGCAGAUGGCGGCCAAGGCCGGGACCCUCUGCUGCUCCCACGGGCCUCUCAGGCAGCUCUGCAGGACCAGCCAGCAGCCUCUGAUUCUCCCUUCCUAUUCCAUGGCCUCAGAUGCCAUCCUUUCCACAGAGACAGUUUCUAUCGUGACACUCUCCCUGACUUGGAAGAAUGGCACUCAGAACAUUCCCCUUGGUGCUGAUGUCGGGGUGAAAGCAGUUUCCAGUCGCCUGGGGCCAGGACACGGCAUUCCCAGCUGUUGUGGAGCAUGAAGCACCAGGAUGCCCAUUUGGGUGCCUGUUGAGAUCAGGCUCUUUGAGAAGGAAUCCUGUGGUCGCCUGAGGAGGCCCGAAGAAAUUUCGAGGACAUCUCAGCCAUCCAUCCCCUGUUCACUGUGGAGGUCGAACACCAAGGUUCCUGGAGGGGGACCCUGGGUCUCCACAGAAGUGCUGGCAACCAUCUACUUCCCGGCCUUCCAUGCCUGCCCCACCUCCGUUCUGUUGUUUACCAUCUCCUUUGUGGGAAUUAUGGAAUAAACGAUCACUUUGGUGUCCUGGAAAAUAAACCUGAUGCUGGAGGGCUUGAGUGUAGGAAUCCCGCUGGCCUUCCUCUGUCUGCCCCAUGAGUUAGGCUUUGCAUAAGCAUGUGAGACAUCAACCGCUAUGAAAUGUGGUCUACACAGCACCAAAAAAUCCAUUUCACCACAUUCUCCCUUCAGUGCAGUUAAAUGGCAUGACCUUGUGACUGCCCCCCAUGAGAAGAAUUAAAAAUUACACCGGCCCUGCCAAAGCCUACAGGACACAGUGGCACAAAAUGAUUUCCAUGAUCUUAGGAUAUAGACCCAGGCCGACUCGACAGAUUAAGUGGAUUUCAAACUGUGGUCUCAAGCCUUCUGGGAACUGCCAGAAAGGAGGGGAAGGUGCCGAGUGGCCCAGCUGCCCAGCCUGUUCACACACUGGGCUUUCCAAAAGGAGGAGAAGGCGCCAGCCUCAGAGUGGCCCAGCUGCCCAGCCUCUUCACACACUGGGCUUUCAGUUGAAGAGAGUGUUCAAAGCUUACACAUGUAAAUGCCACUGAUCUGUAAACCCCCUUCCUGUCAUGCCCAGGGACUGGCAGACUGUGGCUAGAAGGGUGGGACCAGAGGGGUGGGUCACGUGACCUGCGCACGGGUGUGCUGGCCUCCCUGGGCCUCGGUGGCCAGGACAGCCUCCCUUUCCCUUUCCAGCCACACAGGGCAAUCGGUGUGGAUUUCUGUCUCCCCAGUUACAGAGUGUGCUGCCAACCUGCUGUGCUGAGACUGGCCUGGUCUUGGUCCUGGUGUCCUAGGGCUGAUGACUGACCACAGCCUUUGUGCUUUUGAAGCCCAUUUGACUAUAGUCCUUGUGUACAACUGAAAAUGAAGCUUUAAACAAUCUUGCUUUGUUUUAUUUAAUUCUGCCCAAUCUAUUUGAGAAAGGACACUCACAGGUACUUUUUCGAUUGUAGCCUAAAGUGGAUUAUUGAUUUCCUUGUUUCUCAAACAUCAGGAGGAGCAUAAAACUGCUAAUAAGAGGUGACCAAUAUUUGGUGAUACCAUGAUUUGAGACAUACUAAUUUUGCCGUAUAUUUUAAAAAUAAAAUAAAAAGACAUGAGACUGGAGUAGCAAAACCAGAUGGUGCCAACCCAUUCGGUCAACAGCUGCCAUGGUGGUGGAAACCGUGUGUGAGGCCCGACCAGCUCACAAUGUGCCACCGUCUCUGGGACAACUCCCAGCUCCCACAGUGAUGCAGCAGGAGCAGUCUGUCUGUGCUCUGUGACAGGCACACAGCCCCCCACCCCACCCCCUGACUCCAGGACCUCAAGCGGAUUCUGACUCCCAGGAUGGCCCUGGGCACUUAGAACUGGCAUUGAGACAAUUGUGAGUCUCUCUUUGUGCCUAGGCCUGAAAGGUUUAAAUCCAGCACAGUUAGGAUGGUCUCCAUCACUUGCCAGCCUAACGAGAGAAAACGGUUAGACACACAGGGGCAGGCGAGAGAGGACAAUGUGAUGGCCUUUCAGUGCCGUAGGCAGUGUCCUGUGCAUGGGUCAACAUGUGGCCAGGAAGAUGUCUUUGCUUCAGGGCAUUCGUGCUUCUAGGUGCGGGAGGGAUCGCGUCACGGAAGCAGCCGCGAGGUUGUGAUAACUGGCAUUCGUGUCUAGU